rnacentral:tRNA from 1 species
GAUGGGGUGGCCGAGUGGUUAAGGCGAUGGACUGCUAAUCCAUUGUGCUCUGCAUGCGAGGGUUCGAAUCCCAUCCUCAUCG